rnacentral:rRNA from 1 species
CGAAAGCCUGACGCAGCCACGCCGCGUGAGUGAUGAAGGCCUUCGGGUUGUAAAGCUCUGUCGGGAGGGAAGACGGGAGAAAUCCCAGACGGUACCUCGCAAGAAAGCACCGGCUAACUCUGUGCCAGCAGCCGCGGUAAUACAGAGGGUGCAAGCGUUGCUCGGAUUUACUGGGCGUAAAGCGUACGCAGACGGUCACGCAGGUCGGAUGUGAAAGCCCCGGGCUCAACCCGGGAACUGCAUUCGAAACCAUGUGACUUGAGGAUGGUAGAGGAGAGCGGAAUUCCCGGUGUAGAGGUGAAAUUCGUAGAUAUCGGGAGGAACACCAGUGGCGAAAAGCGGCUCUCUGGCCCAUUUCUGACGUUCAGGUACGAAAGCGUGGGGAGCAAACAGGAUUAGAUACCUGGUAGUCCACGCCGUAAACGAUGCAUGCUGGCUGUCGGAGGUAUUCACCCCUUCGGUAGCGAAGCUAACGCGUUAAGCAUGCCGCCUGGGGAGUACGGCCGCAAGGUUGAAACUCAAAGGAAUUGAC